rnacentral:rRNA from 1 species
GUCGAACGCUGGCGGCGUGCCUAAUACAUGCAAGUAGAACGCAGUUGCGAACGGGUGAGUAACGCGUAGGUAACUGCCUCAUAGCGGGGGAUAACCAUUGGAAACGAUAGCUAAUACCGCAUACUGUGAGAUGGACCUGCGUUGUAUUAGCUAGUUGGUGAGGUAAAGGCUCACCAAGGCGACGAUACAUAGCCGACCUGGGAGGGGGAUCGGGCAAACUGGGACUGGUACACGGCCCAGACUCCUACGGGAGGGAGCAGUAGGGAAUCUUUGGCAAUGGACGGAAGUCUGACCGGGCAACGCCGCGGGGGUGAAGAAGGGUUUCGGAUCGGAAAGGUCUGUUGUUAGGGAAGCGGUACCUACCCAGAAAGGGCCGGCUAACUACGUGCCAGCAGCCGCGGUAAUUC